UAUGGUUCUUUCUCUCCUGUUGACAUGUCAGACGUCAUGUCACAAAUAGGGUCUCUGUGACGCCGACACGUGUCCAUGAGUUGCUAACGCCGCGUUUCAUUAAACGUUACCUUUGUGGGCUUUGUUUUGUGAGUUGAGCGUUGGGCUGUGGAGUUCGGUGUUUUGUCGGCCCGAUUGAGUGAUGUUGUCGCCAACCCUAAUACGACGGAGAAGAAACCAAGGUCCUCUUCCCCGGGCGGUGAUCUGAUGCCGUUUCCCCUUCUUCACACCAGUCGAAACGGUCUGAGUAAAGGCUUAGUGAUUAAUCUCAUUGAUUCACUACCCCACUGCGUCGUCUUCAAUGUUUCUUCGAUCUGAAAGGCGGUGAAUUCUUAUUAUAAAUAUGUGGUUUUUUUCUCCGAGUGGGAGGGUUCAUAGCAAGCGGCGGAGCAAGCGGGAGGAGGGCUUAUGGACCAGGCGAUGGGCAUAUCAAGAUGGAUAGCCAUGGAACAAGUUACGGAGAGUGUGAAGAGAGAGAUAACAAAGUCGAUUGCUGCAGUUUAAGCUCUCACAUGGGAGGUGAUAGGCUCUCGGAUGUGAGUUUAUAAGAGCUGGAAUUUUUUUUUUUGUACGAUAAAUGGAAUGAAGGAUUGGUUUAAGUUGAUUUCUUCGUGCAAAUAGGGAUAGCGCUGGAGUAAGAAACCGAGAGAACGAGAUGGAGAGCAACAGAGUAAGUGACAGAGAUAUUGAGAUGAAGAGCAACGGAGAAGUCGAGAUAGAUAUAGAGACACGAAACAAAUAUUAGCAUCGUUCACGAUUCUUAUGUGAAUGGAGAAGUACGAGGACUACUUGAAGCUCAAAUCAAGAGUAGAGAUCUUACAACAUUCACAACGGCAUUUGCUAGGUGAAGAGAUAGCCGGGAUGGCAGUGGAUGAGCUUGAGCAGCUACAACAUCAAGUAGAAACAUCACUUAGACAGAUAAGAUCCACAAAGGUAUACAGAAUCUCAAGAAACCAUAAGCUUAUAUUUGAUUCUUUUAGUCUAAAGAGAAUUUAGAACAGUACCAAAUCUUGGAAUUGUUGUCUAAGUGCCAGUCCCGGUCAAUGCUUGAUCAACAUUCUGAACUCAAAACAAAAGUACAUAAACUUUCACAGUGUUCAAUUAUCUCAAUACAACACUCUCAUAUUGAUUAAUUUACAGGAAAAAAUGUUAUUGGAAACCACCAUAGAUCUUGAAAGAAAGGUUGUGCCAUCAAAAUCUUAUAGCCCAAGAAAUUGUAUCAUUUGAGAUAUUUCACAAUAUUGUUGUCUUUUUCUCUUUAUCUAUCUCAGUUGGAGGAAAGUGAUGCAGCCCAUAAUCACAAAAAUCAGUCGUACUUAAAAAGAUAUGCAUAUGCAGUUGAAAAACAAUACUUAUACCGUUGACAAAAAAAUAUA